GAUGAAGAACGUAGCGAAAUGCGAUACUUGGUGUGAAUUGCAGAAUCCCGUGAACCAUCGAGUCUUUGAACGCAAGUUGCGCCCGAAGCCACUAGGCCGAGGGCACGCCUGCCUGGGCGUCACACGCCGUUGCCCCCCCAUCUACUCCUUCGGGAUUGCGGGGGGGCGGAUGAUGGCCUCCCGUGCGCCUAGCCGCGCGGUUGGCAUAAAUACCAAGUCCUCGGCGACGCACGCCACGACAAUCGGUGGUUGCGAAACCUCGGUUGCCCGUCGUGUGCGUUCGUCGCGCAUCGAGGGCUCGAAAAAAUGCUCGGCUCCGGCUGGGCUUUCAACGCGACCCCAGGUUAGGCGGGGUUACCCGCUGAAUUUAAGCAUAUCAAUAAGCGGAGGA
rnacentral:misc_RNA from 1 species